rnacentral:rRNA from 1 species
AUGACGCAGGUUGUCAUGGGCACCGUAGGGUAUAUAGACCCGGAAUUCAUCCGCACGCGCCGGCCAAGCACCGAAGCCGACGUCUACAGCUUUGGCAUCGUUGUGUUGGAGGUCGUGUCCGGCCGGCGACCGGAGAUGGGAAUAGGAGAACCGGCCGACAAAGCCAUCCCGUUGCUCAGAUGGAUUUGGGACCUGUACGAGAAGGGAACCAUAGUUGAAGCGGUGGACGAGAGGCUCAAGGGGGAAGACAUGCAGCAGCUCGAUGAUGUCGACAUCAGUAAGGGGCAAAUGCACCACGCGCUAGUCGUGGGGCUCUGGUGCACGCACCCGCACCUGGGUGUGCAGCCGUCAGUAGUACAGCUCAUGAACGUCUUGCAGUCGGAGGACGUCACGUUGCCGACCCUGUCGCGGCCAGCCCUGGCCAACAUUAACACUGGAUCACAUGCCUCAUCGGCCAUUGCUUGUAGCGACGUGUCUUGGGCCAGCAGUGGCAGAUGA